GAGGAAGUUUCUAAAGAAGUUUGAAAGUCGAAUAAGUAAUAUUUUAAGUAGAAAUACCGGUGACACCGAUCUGUCAAAUUUGAUCAAAACGUCGAAAUUUCCGUUUAGUACGGGAUAUUUAUCUAUAUCGACGAAAAAUUUAAACAAUUUUCUGAGAAAUUCCCAAAUUACAUCGACAGUUAUAUCUGAAACGAAAAGCAAUUUAAUAAUAACGAUACACAAAAAGUUUACAAGUGGUUACGCGGCUGGGAAGUGUGUGCUUAGUCUGUGGGACUUGAGUGUUGCCAGCCGAGAACCGUUAAAGAUACUCAUCUCCACAGAUAAUGUUAAAAUCGGACGAUUUAGAGGAAGUACUGAUGGGUUUUUCGUGGGCGCUCUAGAAGAGGGAUCAAUUCAACUAUGGGAUUUAUCAGAGCAGCCAACUUGGACCAACGAUUUUACUACAG
rnacentral:misc_RNA from 1 species